AAAUUGAAGAGUUUGAUCAUGGCUCAGAUUGAACGCUGGCGGCAGGCCUAACACAUGCAAGUCGAGCGGAAACGAGUUAUCUGAACCUUCGGGGAACGAUAACGGCGUCGAGCGGCGGACGGGUGAGUAAUGCCUAGGAAAUUGCCCUGAUGUGGGGGAUAACCAUUGGAAACGAUGGCUAAUACCGCAUGAUGCCUACGGGCCAAAGAGG
rnacentral:rRNA from 17 species